UGGGGAAUAUUGCACAAUGGGCGCAAGCCUGAUGCAGCCAUGCCGCGUGUGUGAAGAAGGCCUUCGGGUUGUAAAGCACUUUCAGCGAGGAGGAAGGUGGUAAACUUAAUACGUUCAUCAAUUGACGUUACUCGCAGAAGAAGCACCGGCUAACUCCGUGCCAGCAGCCGCGGUAAUACGGAGGGUGCAAGCGUUAAUCGGAAUUACUGGGCGUAAAGCGCACGCAGGCGGUUUGUUAAGUCAGAUGUGAAAUCCCCGGGCUCAACCUGGGAACUGCAUUUGAAACUGGCAAGCUAGAGUCUCGUAGAGGGGGGUAGAAUUCCAGGUGUAGCGGUGAAAUGCGUAGAGAUCUGGAGGAAUACCGGUGGCGAAGGCGGCCCCCUGGACGAAGACUGACGCUCAGGUGCGAAAGCGUGGGGAGCAAAACAGGAUUAGAUACCCUGGUAGUCCACGCUGUAAAACGAUGUCGAUUUGGAGGUUGUGCCCUUGAGGCGUGGCUUCCGGAGCUAACGCGUUAAAUCGACCGCCUGGGGAGUACGGCCGCAAGGUUAAAAACUUAAAAUGAAUUGACGGGGUCAUAGCUGUUUCCUG
rnacentral:rRNA from 1 species